CCUACAGAUUAGCUUGUGAUGAACAGAUGCAUUGGGGGAGGGUUGAAGGGAGUUCCAGGAUGAGAUAUUUUCAAGAUUUAUUUCAAGUGGAUGUGGAAAGAGAGCAUGUUUUUCCCACCAAGACUGGAAACAGGAAAGGUCAGGGGCCGUAACCUAUGACCAUGUCCUAUCUGGAAACUGGAGACAGCGGAGCCAGUGACUAGUCAGGAAGGCAUGACUUAGGAGAAGUGACUGAGCAAUGGGGGUGUACCUGAUGAGGAAACUCAGCUCAAAUGCUGUGGCGGGUCUGUAUGCAGGAGAGAGAGUCACACAGUAUACAAGACGGAGUCCCCAGGACCCCCCUAAAGCUACUACAGUAGUGCCUGUCUGGAAUCACAGCUCUCCUGUGUGAGACCGGAGGCAGAGGCAGGAGGACCCCUGGAAGCUGAUGGCCAGCUAACCUGGAGGUCCACAGUGGUGAAGUGGGGGACUGUCUCCAACAAGGUGGAAGGCAAGUCCCGCCCCCAAGGCUGUCCUGUGACUUCUACUCAUGUUGUAUGGUAUGUGCACACCUGCCCUUAUAUAUGCGUGUGCACGUUUGCACACGCAUGCACGUUUGCACACGCAUGCACGCACGCAAAGAUAAAGCAACAACAUUCUCACUUAAGGACACAAAGCGCCAUGGGACAGCAGCUGCUACCAUGAACAGAAUCACGUACAGAGGAACUGGCCAGGGACUCCCACCAUACAGGCUCCGACAGUGACCUCGGUCAAACCAGAACAAGAGUCUCCACCAGAGCCAGAGCCUCUUGAGGCUGGAGCUUCCCUGUGGCCUGCUGCUCCUCUCCAGCACGGAUGACCACUCUCCUCUCUCACGUGCUCCCUGGGAACACACCACAGGAGUCAGCCUAUGACACAGCACGGGAGUCAGCCUACGACACAGGUAGGUAAAUGAGCCAGACUGAUUUCCCCACUGCUGUGGAAUGGACUGUCUUCCACCAUUAUAGCCAUUGGUGGAAGGGACUGUGGCAGAUGAGGUCCUGUAGAUGGGAAUAGCUGCUCAUAGGAAAAGACCAGGGAACCUCCUCCCUCCCCUCCC